rnacentral:rRNA from 1 species
GGAUUAGGCAUGCAAGUCGACGCGCGAAGCCCUUCGGGGCCGAGGAGAGGCGAACGGGUGAGUAAUGCAUGAAUACCUACCCCGAUGACUGGGAUAACUACUCGAAAGGGUAGCUAAUACCGGAUGUGGUCCUCACGGACCAAAGCUGGCCUCUGAAUAUGCUGGCGCAUCGGGAGGGGUUCAUGUGCUAUUAGCUUGUUGGUGAGGUAACGGCUCACCAAGGCGAUGAUGGCUAGCCGGCCUGAGAGGGUGUCCGGCCACACUGGGACUGAGACACUGCCCAGGCUCCUACGGGAGGCUGCAGUCGAGAGUCUUUCGCAAUGCCCGAAAGGGUGACGAAGCGACGCCGCGUGGGUGAGGAAGGCCCUCGGGUUGUAAAGCCCUGUCAGGAGUUAAGAAAUGUAGGUGUGCUAAUAUCACGCCUAUUUGACGAAGGCUCCAAAGGAAGUCACGGCUAACUCUGUGCCAGCAGCCGCGGUAAUACAGAGGUGGCAAGCGUUGUUCGGAAUUAUUGGGCGUAAAGAGCACGUAGGUGGGUUUGUAAGUCAGAUGUGAAAGCCUCCUGUUCAACGGGAGAAUUGCAUCUGAAACUACUGAUCUUGAGUGUAGGAGGGGAGAAUGGAACUUCUGGUGGAGCGGUGAAAUGCGUAGAUAUCAGAAGGGACGCCGGCGGCGAAAGCGAUUCUCUGGCCUAUUACUGACGCUCAGUGUGCGAAAGCUAGGGGAGCAAACGGGAUUAGAUACCCCGGGUAGUCCUAGCCGUAAACGAUGGGCACUAAGUAGAGGGGUUUU